GACGAACGCUGGCGGCGUGCUUAACACAUGCAAGUGGAGCGACGAACCGGGGGCUUGCCCCGGGGCAGAGCCGCGAACGGGUGAGUAACACGUGGGUUACCUGCCCUGAUGACCGGGACAACCCGUCGAAAGACGGGCUAAUACCGGAUGUGCCCGCAAGGGGAAAGGAGGCGUAAGCUUCCGCAUCGGGAUGGGCCCGCGGAGCAUUAGCUUGUUGGUGAGGUAAAAGCUCACCAAGGCUUCGAUGCUUAGCUGGUCUGAGAGGACGAUCAGCCACACUGGGACUGAGACACGGCCCAGACUCCUACGGGAGGCAGCAGUGGGAAUCUUGCGCAAUGCGCGAAAGCGUGACGCAGCAACGCCGCGUGCGGGAAGACGGCCUCGG
rnacentral:rRNA from 1 species